rnacentral:rRNA from 1 species
AGGACGAACGCUGGCGGCGUGCUUAACACAUGCAAGUCGAGCGGAAAGGCCCUUCGGGGUACUCGAGCGGCGAACGGGUGAGUAACACGUGAGUAAUCUGCCCCUAGCUCUGGGAUAGCUCCGGGAAACCGGGAUUAAUACUGGAUACGACCACCUUAGACAUCUUUUGUGGUGGAAAGAAUUUCGGCUAGGGAUGAGCUCGCGGCCUAUCAGCUUGUUGGUGGGGUAACGGCCUACCAAGGCGACGACGGGUAGCCGGCCUGAGAGGGCGACCGGCCACACUGGGACUGAGACACGGCCCAGACUCCUACGGGAGGCAGCAGUGGGGAAUAUUGCGCAAUGGGCGAAAGCCUGACGCAGCGACGCCGCGUGGGGGAUGAAGGCCUUCGGGUUGUAAACCCUUUCAGCAGGGACGAAGCGAAAGUGACGGUACCUGCAGAAGAAGCGCCGGCUAACUACGCGCCAGCAGCCGC